CUUAAAUUAGAGGGGCAAAGGUUUAAAAAUAAUAUCAGGAAAUAUUACUUUACUGAGAGGGUAGUGGCUGCAUGGAAUAGCCUUCCAGCUGAAGUGGUAGAGGUUAACACAGUGAGGGAGUUUAAGCAUGCGUGGGAUAGGCAUAAGGCUAUCCUAACUAUAAGAUAAGGCUAGGGACUAAUGAAAGUAUUUAGAAAAUUGGGCAGACUAGAUGGGCCGAAUGG